rnacentral:rRNA from 1 species
AACGUAGGUACCGAGCGUUAUCCGGAUUUACUGGGCGUAAAGCGUGUUCAGGCGGCCUGGCAAGUCGGGCAUGAAAUCUCUCGGCUCAACCGGGAGAGGCUGUCCGAUACUGCUGGGCUUGAGGACGGUAGAGGGUGGUGGAAUUCCGCGUGUAGUGGUGAAAUGCGUAGAUAUGCGGAGGAACACCAGUGGCGAAGGCGGCUACCUGGACCAGCACUGACACUGAGGCACGAAAGCGUGGGGAGCAAACAGG